AUUUUCCCACAGCUGCAGCAGUAAAAUGGAAUCUGACGUGACUCAGGGAUUUCAGAACCCUUCAAAAAAUCUUGAAACUGCCCAUGGUAUCUCUUUGAAACCACUGAACAGGCAAUGCGCUACAUAUUAGGCACACCUGUAGCUCAGUAGCAAAGGCACUGAUAAAAUGUUUGCAAAAAGAACAGCGAUUUUCAACACAUACAUCACAAAAUACGACACUCGUCACUGCAACAACGAUGGCGAUUGCAUAAUGAUGAUGAUGUUGGUGUAACUUCCGCUGGAUUGGCAUGUGUGUUAUUUAACAUUUAACCUCCACCACCCAAUUAUAAUGAACGGCCACAGAAAUUAAAGUAUUACAAAAAAUAAGUACUCAAUAAGCACGAGCUAAAGCAAUGGCAAUGACGCCUGCCCGUCUACCCAAUCACCAUCCAUCAUCCAUCCAUCCAACCAGUUCGAACCAGUUCAGUUUCAACGGUUGAAACUUCAAACUUUCCGGACGCGCAACGGGUAGCAGUUGGGGUCUUCGCGGCUGCAUUCCACUGGUUGUUAUACGAAAAUCUUUCGAAGUUCUAAUCUCCCGCGCGUUUUGUCUUGCAAUUUUUGAGCAUAGCGAGAACGUACGCCGUGCUGUCCAGUGAUAAAAGCUGUUGAGCACAGCAGAGCUCCCAGAGUACUGUGGUGGACAACGUUUCUUUGUUCUCUGGCUUUCAAGUUUAAGGGGUGCUUGGACUAUCUUGCAUCGGUGGAUAUGAAAAUAGUGGUAACCUACCCUACGAAACAGCUGUUUGCACAUAAGCUUAACAGUUCCCUGUGAGAUGCUGUGAAAGUCAGCAGGGAAGUGCGAUGUAGAAGAAACGACUGCCAGAAGCUUGCUAAGGAACCACACAACCUGUGUGGGCAGCAGACAAAAUAUUCAUCAAACGGUACAAAACUAGUAUUUUUGUGCUUUGUCGUUUUGAGACAUCCUUGGUAUUGUAUGGAGAACAGCGUGACUAUGUCAUUCCGUCUUACUUCACCCAAACAGCUAUCUGGUAGUAGUGCAAGAUUUGAGUUCCUAAAAGGUUUAUUCACUGAAGUCACCUCAGCGCCAUACUAUAGGUCCCGCAAUGUUUAGUCCUUGCAUUUGUUUGCUGCAUUAUGCUUUUUAGGUGACUAUUAACACCAAAAAUAUGGAAAUUGCUCAGACAUUCUACAAAUCACAGAGCAACAAGUUUUAAACACCAGAUAUACGGUGAGUAUAAUAUGGGUAAGAGCUUGACUGAAAUCUACAAUAGGGCCGAUGGCAGCAAAUCUGCCUGCUAGCGACAGUGGCGGUCUCCUGCGGAUGACGUCAUGUGAAUAAACUUGUAUACUACUUGUACGUACUUAUAAUAUUUGACGUGGUGAUACAGCUCUUGCUUUGUAUUGUCUUUUAUAAUAUACACAGUGUUUAUUUUUAUCCUGUACAGAAGCUUUGCACCAAAGUUAUGAGAGCAGCACAGAUGUUUUAGCGUAAUGGAGUGAUGGAAGUGCUGCGCCAAUCAUGGAGUGCUUAGCAGUCGCCUGCUCGACCAGCCACAGUGAGUCAUUGGGGGCAGUGCUACAGCACCAACAAUCACUCGUUGGAAGAAAGGAAUGAGGUGGCCAUCAACACCCUGCUGCCAGUUCAACACUCCUCAGUCAAAACACAAGACGCCUGCUUGGCGGCAAAGUCAAUCCAGUUUUAGACAAGAGUUUUGUACCGUAGACUUCGUGUGUGGUUUACAGCGAAUAAAUGUUUAUGCUGA